rnacentral:rRNA from 1 species
AACGAACGCUGGCGGCAUGCCUAACACAUGCAAGUCGAACGAGAUCUUCGGAUCUAGUGGCGCACGGGUGCGUAACGCGUGGGAAUCUGCCCUUUGCUUCGGAAUAACAGUGAGAAAUUACUGCUAAUACCGGAUGAUGUCUUCGGACCAAAGAUUUAUCGGCAAGGGACGAGCCCGCGUAGGAUUAGGUAGUUGGUGGGGUAAUGGCCUACCAAGCCGACGAUCCUUAGCUGGUCUGAGAGGAUGAUCAGCCACACUGGGACUGAGACACGGCCCAGACUCCUACGGGGGGCAGCAGUGGGGAAUAUUGGACAAUGGGCGAAAGCCUGAUCCAGCAAUGCCGCGUGAGUGAUGAAGGUCUUAGGGUUGUAAAGCUCUUUUACCAGGGAUGAUAAUGACAGUACCUGGAGAAUAAGCUCCGGCUAACUCCGUGCCAGCAGCCGCGGUAACAC